rnacentral:lncRNA from 1 species
GAUUCCCUGAGCUCAUACUGUGUCCUUUUCUCUGUAAAGGAUGGUGGUGGGCAGAAUUGGGACCUUGCCCUGUAGCAUCCAUGUCUUGGCUGAGUUGAAGAAGAAGGCAGAAGUUGUGUUCGGGGAGCCUUCUGGAUGGACCAGCUCUGUCUUGCAGGAGCUUGGGACCAUUGCAGAAGCGCCUGUCUCCCGGGGCCUUUGGUUUGGCUGCUCCCUGCUGCUUCUCAUGGCCCAGACCUGGUGGUGAGUGGCUUGAUGUUCAGCCCAUCCCUGUCCAGAGCAGGUGGCCGAGCCGUAUGGAGACAAAGGAUGCUUCUGACUGUGCCAGACCUUGGCCUGGACUCAGAGCCUCAACGAGGGCAGUGAGACCCUGGAGCCUUGACAUUUAAAAGGCACCAAAAGAAAAAAGAAUUAUUUAAAAUGAUCUAGCAAGUUCUUAAAGUCAGCCUGUCUACCCAGCAGGGAGCCCUUUUCUGUCCUGUGUUAGCCUCCUUUGUUUUCAGCCUCGAGUUGGGAGAAGCUGUGGGGAAAGAAAGGUGUUUUCUGUUAACAGCAUGAAGAUCUUCCGAGUCGCUGACCUCCCUUGCUCCCUUCAGAGAGCUAGAGGUGGGAGGAGGAGAAGAUACCCUUUUAGCCAGUGCUGAGUCUGGUUUCUACUCUAACUUAAUUUCAUUGCCUCGGAGCUACAGGCUGCAUUGGAUUUCUCCUUUGAUACUUAGCUGUGUUGAAAUAAAUGAAUCCCUCAACAGGAG